UACGUAGGGACCAAGCGUUGUCCGGAAUCAUUGGGCGUAAAGGGCGCGUAGGUGGCCCGGUCAGUCUUUGGUGAAAGCGCGGGGCUCAACCCUGCGUCGGCCUGGGAUACUGCCGCGGCUGGAGCACUGUAGAGGCAGGCGGAAUUCCGGGUGUAGCGGUGGAAUGCGUAGAGAUCCGGAAGAACACCGGUGGCGAAGGCGGCCUGCUGGGCAGUUGCUGACACUGAGGCGCGACAGCGUGGGGAGCAAACAGG
rnacentral:rRNA from 1 species